AUGACGAUCACGUGCAGUGACGGGACGGACCAAAUCACCAGCAGUUACAAGGUGGACAUUUCGGACGCGGGUUCGACGGCAUGACGAUUGCCACGCUUGAUUACGACUCUGCUACGAGUUACACGAUCACCGUCACGUGUACUGACGCUAUCAACCCUGUGACGUCAUCAAGGACCAUCAACUUAGCCGAUGACAAACCCGUUUUCUCCGGACUUCCGGCUACGUUGUCGCCGGCACGUAACGACGGCUUUCAGACGGCGACGUUACUUUGCACGUUCAGCGUCACGGACGCCAACGACCAGAGUAUUAGCACGUGCUUGAUACAGGCGCCGAUGGACAGCUUCUUCAACCUGGUUCCCGGCACGGCGCCGACAUUUUUGCGAUCUUGGGUCAAAGCCAGCGUGACGUUGUACGCAGCAUCAUCACUCUCCUCGUAAACGUCCAGUGCGUUGACGACAGAUCGCCCGCGAAUACCAUUACCGAAACGUUCACUGUUCCCUUACUUGACGAGCCUCCGACGUUCGUUUCGGGAAUUCCCGGAACAUCUCCGUCUAUUUCCGACUCGACCGUCAUCGCGACGUCACUUGGUGUAUUCACCGUUACCGACCCCGACACGAUAUGCAGUAUUAUGUCACCGGUGACGUCAGUGUAUGAGAUCAGACCCUUGAUGUCACCGGCAGAUCCUCAAAAGCCGGGAAUUUAAAGCUGGUUCGGUGGGUGUGCGACGCCAUUGGGGAAGUUCACAACUACGGACCCGGAUACGACAUGUUCUGUGACGUCACCUGUGACAACAGUCUAUGAGAUCAGAAAAAUUGCGUCACCGACCGAUCCCUAGAAACCGGAGUUCGAAGUGUGGAUCAGAAACGCCGUUACCCAGGCGUCUAUCGACUUCAAUGACUAGGCUGUUCCGCUGCCGCUAACAAUCAAGUGCACAGACGGAAACGUUGUCAAUGACAUCACGGGGACGUUUAACGUCAACAUCGUCGACUCGGAUUUACAGUUAACGUAAGGAUGGGGGUUACGCUAAGAGCAGCGAACGGACCUUACGUCAUCAACGUCGACUGCUCAGAUGGCGACAAUAACGUCACUGCGACGUUCACACAACCAGUGAUCGAUACGCCGCCGACCUUUGUAUCCGGGAUCCCCUGAAGUUCCCCAACGUAUCUGACGCCACUGUCACGCAGACGUUACUCGGGAAGUUUACAACUACAGACCCAGAUACGGCGCGCUCUGUGACGUCACCAUCCACCACCGUGUAUGAGAUCAGAAAUGUGACGUCACCGGUGAAUGUUUCUCAGCCAGCAUACUGUACCAAUAGAGGAUGGAAAACAGCGGAUGCUCAAGAAAGGGCAGGGCGGCCUUUGGAAAGGGCAGUGUGGCGCUAAAUUGCUUUGAAAGGGGGUAGUGUGGCGCUACAAGAAAUGGCUUGGCGCCGCGCCACGGUAUAACGGCAUUGAUAAACACUGUACUGAUGUCUGCUGCCAAGUGUCAUGAUUCAUGGGCAGUCAGAUGAGUUGUUGAGAUAUUUAGAAUUAAUCAAUUGCAAUCUAAAAAAAUAAACACAAUAAACGUUGUCGGGUAGUAGUGAAUUUGGUUUUAUUUAAAAAAUAAAAAACAGUUAUCUCCAAGUUUAAAUUUGAAUUUGUAGUUAAGUCAAAUACAUUUUCCUCCCAAACACGCGUUAAUACUGGGGACCUUUGGAUUGGAAAGGACAACGUUAUUGCGUUUAAAACUGGGAAAUUGAUAUUGUUUUUUUUUUGUGCAUACAAAUACCUUCAAAUGAAGAAUAGUUUUGUUUUCAAAUAUUGCAUUUACUAUGUUAAACUGUUAUAGCUAAACUAGGAAAAUAACUAAAUGUUGCAAUUUAUUAUAAAAAAAGAUAUGAAUAUUUGUUUAUAAUUUUUGUUUAAACCUUUAAUUUGUAAAUUUAGGUAGUCAUUUCAGAAAAAUAUGAACAUUAAGGGUUAGAAAUGAUGCCGAAUUUUGGCCUCAAAUUUCACCAAAAAAAGAC